rnacentral:rRNA from 1 species
CAGUAGCCGCGGGAAUACGAAGGGGGCGAGCGUUGCUCGGAAUGACUGGGCGUAAAGGGCGCGUAGGUGGCGUGCACAGUCAGACGUGAAAUUCCUGGGCUCAACCUGGGGGCUGCAUUUGAUACGUGCGUGCUAGAGUGUGGAAGAGGGUCGUGGAAUUCCCAGUGUAGAGGUGAAAUUCGUAGGUAUUGGGAAGAACACCGGUGGCGAAGGCGGCGACCUGGUCCAUUACUGACGCUGAGGCGCGAAAGCGUGGGGAGCAAACAGGAUUAGAUACCCGCGUAGUCCCUGUCUCUUAUAA